rnacentral:rRNA from 1 species
CAGCCGCCGCGGUAAUACGUAGGUGGCAAGCGUUGUCCGGAAUUAUUGGGCGUAAAGGGCUCGCAGGCGGUUUCUUAAGUCUGAUGUGAAAGCCCCCGGCUCAACCGGGGAGGGUCAUUGGAAACUGGGAAACUUGAGUGCAGAAGAGGAGAGUGGAAUUCCACGUGUAGCGGUGGAAUGCGUAGAGAUGUGGAGGAACACCAGUGGCGAAGACGACUCUCUGGUCUGUAACUGACGCUGAGGAGCGAAAGCGUGGGGAGCGAACAGGAUUAGAUACCCCAGUAGUCCCUGUCUCUUAUAC